GGCUGAGUAGUUCAAUGGAUAGAACGGAAGUUUCCUAAACUUUAGAUUCGGGUUCGAUUCCCGGCUCGGCUACAA
rnacentral:tRNA from 4 species